CACCAGAUCUAAAAUCCAUCUUUUGAGACCUGAAAGUACUCUUGAUGAACCCUCCAAAAAGCAAAAAAAUAAGAUGUGAAACUCUUUUUGGGUGGCUAAGAGGGGGCGCUCAAAAUAGGGGCAUGCACAAAGGGGGGUGCUGGUUUCUGGUGCCUCUUUUCUUUCCUUUUUGGGGUGGCGGCCAAGACAUCCUAGGUUUCUAGGUUUUAGGGCAUGGAGAAGAUCAGAGA
rnacentral:lncRNA from 1 species